rnacentral:rRNA from 1 species
AUUGAACGCUGGCGGCAGGCCUAACACAUGCAAGUCGAGCGGAGCGGCGGAGGGGUGAGUAAUGCCUAGGAAUCUGCAUCGGCGUGGGGGAUGACGUCAGCAAACGGGCGCUAAUACCGCAUACUAUCAGAUCCGCCUAGGUCGGAUUAGCUAGUUGGUGGGGUAAAGGCCUCCCAAGGCCACGAUCCGUAUCUGGUCUGAGAGGAUGACCAGUCACAAUGGAACUGAGACACUGUCCAGACUCCUACGGGAGGCAGCAGUGGGGAAUAUUGGACAAUGGGCGCAAGCCUGAUACAGCCAUGCCGCGUGUAUGAAGAAGGUCUUCAGGUUGUGAAGCACUUUAAGCUGGGAGGCGUUACCAACAGAAUAAGCACCGGCUAACUCCGUGCCAGCAGCCGCGGUAAUUC